CGCGGACCUACCGGACCCGCGGCGGCAUCGGACGCAGCCCGGCGUGGCAGCGGCUGAGCCGGUCUGAGGGAAGGCGGGGAGUGGCCGCCGGGCGGACGCAGGGGGUGGCCGCUAGCCCGACGCCGUGUGGGGGUGAUGGAGGGGGUUGCCCCUCAGCCUGACGGGGCUCGAUUUGUGCUGUCUCCUACACACACUGGGGGAGGGGAGGAGGCGGGACCUCCCCCCGGCAGCUGCGCCCAGCCCAUUAACCCUUUACACCCAGGCGGGAUAGGGCUCUGUCCUUUCGAGGGGCCGCAGGCCUGUGACGUGGGAGGUCUCGCGUCUCCUCAGCAUCCUUCAAGUCAGCGGGCCGCCGUUUACGUCCGUUAGAUUCCACGGGCUGCCAAAAGAACCUUUCGGUGAGAAAGUUCCACCCCAUUCCCCGCGCGGUCCCCCUGUCUGGGGCCUGACUGGCCUUUGGAACAUUCCGUUUUGCUGCAAUCAAGCCGGCUGCUCUGCACAGGAGGAAAGAUGAACAUGUGGUCUGCAGUCCCAAGAACCAUUGAGGAAUCAAGUUUGUAGUUGUAGGAUGUUCAGAUUAGGAUGGAGCACUUGACCUGCAUUCUGAGAUAACAGUCAAAGUUUGUUCAGGAGCUGCCACAGAGGGCAAGAGAUUGAAGUGCAAGCACUGUUCCUGUUGUGACCAUUCGUCUUGGACUGUGUGAGGACCCCAAUGUGCUCCCCAUCCCAAAAGGGAAGCAUUCAACAUUACUAUGACUGUAGAGGAUUCUGGAUGAGCAGGAUUCCUGCACAAACUUUGGAUGUAUUCAGCCACCAGAUGACGGACUGCAGGACCUGAUUGGGCACAGAUACUUGCUUCUUAAUACUGUUUGUUGGGUACACAAACAGUCCUGAGCCACCCCUGGAGAUACUGAAGAUACAAACUGCUGCUUUGUGUUACAAAAAUAAAAGCUGCCAUACAUAACAGCAGUCGCAGACACGUCCUUGCUGGAACUUGAGGGACGAGCUUCACUCUUUGUACAUGGUUCUUUAGAGCAAGGAACCCAUCAAGAGGGAGAGAAACUCUUCCAAUUAUCGAAUCCAGAAGUGCUCCGUUAAAGAGAAUUCGUUGUGCAGAGGUCAAGAUAGAUUUCUUGAGAUUUAUUUGCAGGCCCAGGCUUCAGAAUAGUGAAGUUGUUGUUUGGACGGCAAACCUAACUCCUGAUCUGACCAACCCUUGAGGAGCCAGUUGUCAAGGCAGAGAAAGACAGUUAUCCCUAUAUGACGGAGGUAGGCAGCUACAAUACCCAUGAUUUUUAAGAACACCUUUGGGGCGGAUAACAGGCUAAAAAAGUGUAGAACCUGGUAAUGAUUGUGACUGAAAGUGAAACAAAGAAAUCUUUUGUGAGAAGGAUGAAUCAUUACGUGGAAGUAGGCAUCU